rnacentral:rRNA from 1 species
GAUCAUCGGUGUAGCAAUACAUCGGCGGUCCUAGUGGCGCACGGGUGAGUAACACGUGGGUAACCUGCCCUCGAGACUGGGAUACCCUUCCGAAAGGGAGGCUAAUACCGGAUACGCUCCACGGGUCGAGAGAUCCGAGGAGGAAAGGUGGCGCAAGCUGCCGCUCUUGGAGGGGCUCGCGGCCUAUCAGCUAGUUGGCGGGGUAAUGGCCCACCAAGGCUAUGACGGGUAGCUGGUCUGAGAGGACGACCAGCCACACGGGGACUGAGACACGGCCCCGACUCCUACGGGAGGCAGCAGUGGGGAAUUUUCCGCAAUGGGCGAAAGCCUGACGGAGUGACGCCGCGUGUGGGACGAAGGCCUUCGGG